UUUUCACUGCCGCCCAGCAGACCACAGACUCUGAAACCGCUGCAGAUUGAGCAUUGAUGACUUCAAGCUCUAGGUCAUUCCAGGCAGCAAAAGGCUCCGGGCGCUGGCUCCACAGGAGGUGCUACUGUCAGAUCUCCAGAGUCGCGAUUACCCUGACUCCUCCUCCGGCAAACUGCAAACUGCAAACCGGCCAGAAAAGAAAGGUGUCCCCCAUCUCAAAGCCCCACAUGAGCUCUGCCUGAGAGGAAUAGGGGCUGGUUACUUAGUCUGCCAUGGGCACACAAUGCUCCCUUCUCCCCGGUGGUCACCUGUUGAAACCGCACUGCUCAGAGACCCUGGCUUUCUGGAAACAUCUGUGGAACGCUCUGUGAAAAUGCCUUUUGAGUACACGGCACAUUCUUUUGAGCCUCUUCUGCACUGGAACAUCUUGUUCCUUCAGGGAUUGAUACUUGGAAACAGCCAGAAGUCAUUUGGAUGCACGUUUGGAAGACAAGGAAAACUAUCAUGCUACAGAAUCGCUGCUGGUGAAAUCUGAGAGAUGCUUUGGGGUGUGAAUGAAAGGCAGGGCUUCUCACCUUGGAGCGUGGAGAUUCUGGGUGUAACGUUUUUGGGGGGUUAUGUUUUUAGCUGAUGUUGUAAUCUCCCAGUGAUUCUACAACUCAAAAAAGUCAAUGAUAUAAGGUCCUUUUUCUGUGGGUGGUGGAGAGAAGUCACGGGUCAAGAGAGCAGGGGUCAGGAGUGCAGAGCGCAGGUUGUAGUUUCACCUGUAAUUUGAUGUGUGGUCACAGUGGUUUCCAGAACUCCCAAAACUUCCAUGUCCUUACAUGCAAACUGGGUGGGUGAGUUGUGUCUCCAACACUGAGUUGCUCUAGGUUUUAGUUAGGUUUCUAUUGCUGUGACGGGAACGCCAUGACCAAAAAGCAAGCUGAGGAGGAAAGGGUUUAUUUGGCUUAUGCUUCCAGAUUGUAGUCCAUCAUUGAAGGAAGUCAGGACAGGAACUCAAACAGGGCAGGAAUCUGGAGGCAGGAGAUGAGGCAGAGGUCAUGGAGGAGUGCUGCCUGCUGGUUUAUUCCUCAUGAUUUGUUCAGCCUGCUUUCUUAUAGAGUGGAGGACCACUAGCCCAGGGAUGACCCCACCCGCAAUGGACUGGGCCCUCCCCCAUCAAUCACUAAUUAAUAAAAUGCUCUACAGGCUUGCCUGCAGCCUGAUGUUUUUCUAUUCUCUCACACAAUACAUCCCAACCCCAGCCUUCCUCCCCUCCGCUGCUCCCAGUUCCCUGCCCCCAGAUCCACUGCUCCUCCAUUUCCUUUCAGAAAAGAGCAUGCCUCCCAAUGAUUUUAUGGAGACAUCCUCUCAGAUGAUUUUAGCUUGUGUGGAGUUGACAUAAAACUAUCCUGCACACUCUUUAAUCCCAUAAAAUCCAAGCAGAGAAGAUUCAGGAAACAACAGCUUGCUUUUGAAAAUCAAACAUCCCUUGGCCAAGCAGGUAAUUCAGCUUUCCCAGGUGACUCUCUCAAAUGUCAAUCUUCAUUUGGAUGAUUUAGGACUGAUGUGCCUGAUCACAGACAUCAGCAUCCUGGUAUUGGAACGAGGAGUCUAGAGACAUCAAGCAGGCCUAAUCAGAGAGGGAAGGCAGAGAGGCUCAAACAGCAGAGGGACUUGUUCAGAAUUGUAGGAGGCACAGAGGUCCUUGUGCUCACAGAUAAGCACUAGGAGAACCAGGAAGAGUAGCACACAGGGUUGGUUCCUCCAAGCCAACGAAUGCACUACCUGGUAUCCGCCCAGAAGGCUGGGAGCAGAUGGGUGUUCUAGCCCAGGGACUGUCUGUGUGCUGCGUGAGACCCUCUUCCCAGACCCUUAUCCUAAGCUUGUUUUUCUCAGUCAAAAUGCCAGCGACCUCUGGCCAGGUGACUCCAUAAGUGACAGAGAAAGGAAGGGCAGGGUCAAGGUCACUGGUCAGGCUUCCACCGGUAGUGGGAGAGGCUCCAUGCUUCUGCCAUUCAGGAGAGCAGAAAUUCCCUCUCAUUAUGGAGGUGUCAUAUGUAGUCAAUCUAUAGAACCCUUAUGGAAGAUGUCACGUGUACUUCACAAAGAGCAGUCAUGUCUGAUCUUUACUUAGCUUAUUUUGUUCCUCAAAGACAUUUAUAUGUGCUUUAUUGUGCACAUGGGAUUGGGUUCAUUAUCACCUGAAAAGUUUUGACCAAACUGUGCUGUGCUUAAAUAUGCCUGAAAUAAAUUACUUGGGGUCAGCCUCCUGAUGUUUGAACCGACGACCAGCUACUUAGCUAUGUUGAACCAAGCUGCCUUCUUGCCUCCCCGGGGUUGUCCCUCUGCUGGCCUUGAAGGUCACAGAGAUACACACUCCCCUCCUGUGCACAGCGUGGUACAAAGGGUUGAGGAAUAAGAGGGAGUCUGGAAGGGGCAGCAGAAUGCUGUUAGGGGCAGAGGCUGUCUUCAGGAUUGAGCCUGCACUAACGACUCUGCCAUUAGCCAUAGAAGACAGGACUCUGGUGACCUUCCGAAGUUGGGGAAUAGCUUAGGAGCUACCUGAUGGCUGUGGGUUCAUUCCCACUCUCUCCCCCCUGAAAGCUUAAACAAUUUUUCUAAGGAUAAAUGUUUGUUGGUAUUGAUUCCAUUGAUAAAUAUGGUUAAUUUUUUUUUAGAUUCAUAUUUUAGCAUGCGAUUUUUUAAAUAAAAUGAUUUAGGAAACACUGGUCCAUGGUUACUUAGUUACAGUUAAAUAGGAGCGGGUAGUUGUUGGGUACUGUUGCACAGCAGGACCAGUGUAGGUAGUGACUAUUAGAAGAGAUCUGGGCAUGGUGGCACAUGCGUACAAUCUGAGCACUUGGAAGGCUGAGAGAGGAUGAUUGCCAUGAAUUCAUGUCCAUCUUGGGCUACACAGUGAGUUCCAUGCCAGCCUGGACUACAGAGUAAGAUCUGAUCUCAACAAGCUAAAUCUCAAAGAAAAGCAUAUGAAAGUUUUCAUCAUAAUCAAUGGCAAAUGUUUGAGGAAAUAACGUUUAAUCUGAUUUAAAAAAGCAUUAUGCAGGACGGGAGAGAUGGUUCAGCAGUCAAGGGCACAUGCUGCUCUUGCAGAUGACCCAGGUGGUAUACCACAAGGUGGUUUGCAACUGUCUUUAACUCCAGUUUCUGGGAUCCCAUACCCUCUUCUGGCUUCUGAGGGCACCAGACACACAGAGUGCACAUACACACAUGCAGGCAAAUGAUCAAACACAUAAAAUAAAAGAAACUAUAAAGUAGUAUGUAAGCAUUAUGCACAUCUUAUGUUUUUAAGGUAGCGACCUAAAAUGUGCACCUUGGUUCUCAAUCAUAUUCCUCUAU